ACGGAAGGCAGCAGUGAGGAAUAUUGGUCAAUGGACGGAAGUCUGAACCAGCCAAGUCGCGUGCGGGACGAAGGCCCUACGGGUCGUAAACCGCUUUUGUACGGGGAUAAAGUCACCCACGUGUGGGGGUUUGUAGGUACCGUAAGAAUAAGGAUCGGCUAACUCCGUGCCAGCAGCCGCGGUAAUACGGAGGAUCCGAGCGUUAUCCGGAUUUAUUGGGUUUAAAGGGUGCGCAGGCGGGCUGCUAAGUCUCCGGUGAAAUGCCAGGGCUCAACCUUGGCACUGCCGGAGAUACUGGCGGCAUUGAGAGUGGCGGAGGUAUCCGGAAUGUGUGGUGUAGCGGUGAAAUGCAUAGAUAUCACACAGAACACCGAUUGCGAAGGCAGGAUGCCAUACCAUAUCUGACGCUCAGGCACGAAAGCGUGGGGAUCGAACAGGAUUAGAUACCCUGGUA
rnacentral:rRNA from 1 species